rnacentral:rRNA from 1 species
CCUACGGGUGGCAGCAGUGAGGAAUAUUGGUCAAUGGACGAGAGUCUGAACCAGCCAAGUAGCGUGAAGGAUGACUGCCCUAUGGGUUGUAAACUUCUUUUAUAUGGGAAUAAAAUGUUCCACGUGUGGGAUUUUGUAUGUAACAUAUGAAUAAGGAUCGGCCAACUCCGGGCCAGCAGCCGCGGUAAUACGGAGGAUCCGAUCGUUAUCCGGAUUUAUUGGGUUUAAAGGGAGCGUAGGUGGAUUGUUAAGUCAGUUGUGAAAGUUUGCGGCUCAACCGUAAAAUUGCAGUUGAAACUGGCAGUCUUGAGUACAGGAGAGGUGGGCGGAAUUCGUGGUGUAGCGGUGAAAUGCUUAGAUAUCACGAAGAACUCCGAUUGCGAAGGCAGUUCACUGGACUGCAACUGACACUGAGGCUCGAAAGUGUGGGUAUCAAACAGGAUUAGAUACCCCUGUAGUC